UGGAUGGAUGGCUGUUGGACACGUACCAAAAUAUUCAUAUUGCUCGAAAGCAAUCGAAAUACGGCGAUAUGACGGUAGGAUAAGCACGUUGCCCUAAGCACAAAUUUAAAUCGCGGUAAAUGAGAAUAAAACAAUAACCGUUCAGAGAUACUUCAACGAGACGAAACGAAUCCGAUGGAAUUUUAGUUGGCACCGUGCGAUCAAGGCCCAACGAUAAUACACAAUAUCAAUAACUGUUUAGUUACCGAACGUUACAUUGCCAUUUCGAUUGACCGUCGAUCGAUUUUGGUUCGCACUUUUGGUUAGCGAUCAAUAUUACAAUUUAUGGUGUUCUGUAAUAGCAGUAAUCACACGUAUUUUAAUACGUCGCAUCACAACGGCCGAUUUU